GGUCCCAUGGUGUAGCGGUUAUCACUCUGGACUUUGAAUCCAGCAACCCGAGUUCGAAUCUCGCCUCGCAGGUUUU
rnacentral:tRNA from 1 species